AUGAUGCACUCGGGCAAGGACUUGGUGCUAGGCAUCGACAAGCCGGUCGGCUACGAGCCGUUGCACUUGUUCCCUUCGGCCGUCCUGAUAGUGAACCGCGGAGUUGGAGAAGGAGAUUGGGCGACGGGUCGAGAUGCUGGCGGCGGCACGCGGUGGAGGCGGCAGCAGCUGGUGGUCUUGGCCGGCGACGGCAAGAACCCUAGUUGCUGCAUGCGCUACCUGUGUGCCUGUAUGGUGCCGCACCCAAACUCCACCUGCACCGAGCCAUACGAGUCAAAGUCAACGUCCGUGACGAACCACAGCGACGCGCCGAGGAGUGAUGUACCGGACAAGGAUGACCAGACCUCGAAGGGGCUCCCUCCGCCGCCCUGCUGGGUGCAGCCAGCUACUGCAGGAGGCGUGGGAACUCCACGGCGGAUGAUGUCGCUGAUCGUUGCUACAGGGGACGGAGAGGCGAGCUCGAGUGGAUUGAAAGGCAUUGGGAAAUGUUCUACACCAAGGGGGCAUGUUGUGUUAACCAGAUUCAUCUUUGCGACCUCAACUGGUGGAGGACACGGCAAUUGGCCCGGGAGGGGUCGUCGCGGUGACGUGGCCUACGUGGACGCCGUUGCCGCACGCAACUCCGUGAUCAACCUCUCCGGGAACGUCCUCGCUGUCCGCAGCCACGCCAGGCCGGCCGAAGUGCACGUGCACGCCAUUAAAGAUGAUGAUGAUGGCAGCGACAAUGAAUCCUGGUCGUCGUACGAUAAUUUACCUGAGGAGGAUUUUCAAAAGAAGGAGGAGGGUGCUUGUAGUGAAAACGAUAUUGACGUCCAGGACGAGGAAAAUCACGGUGUUGAAUCUUUCGCGGAUAACAUAAGCCAGGCUAACUUUGAUGGUUGGAGUGGUGAUGAUGAAUAUGAGCUUGAGGAUGGAGGUAACAUGGACAUUGAGGAAGCUGAAAUCCAGCAACAUGCGCUUGAGACACAGUUGAAGGUUAUGGGUAUGCCAUUUGCAUCACAAUGGGAGGCCCACAUAUUCUAUAAUAACUACGCCAAAGACCGUGGAUUCAGUAUCAGAAAAAAUAAGGAACCGGGCAUAAAGAUGAAAAUCCUGCUCGUCCCCCCGCCGCCGCCGGGUACCAUAGGGCUUUUUCCCACCGCCGCCGGCCACCAUGACGCCAUGCCCCAUCAACGCUCGCUAGCCCCGACUACACACAACCUAUUCAGCUCCACCUUGUGUGCCGAACCCGUUGCUCAGAUGAGAUCCACGCUCGACAGUACGAUGGGAGGCGACACAAAUCUCUCCCCACCGCCGCUGGAACCGGAGACUCUACGCGGCGAGGAGCAGGAUUGGGUGUCGGCGCUGGGGGAGUCAGUUUCCUUCGGACGUUUCCUCUCUGAGCCGCUGGAGUGGUGCCGGUUGCAGCGGUCGGAGCUCGAUCUGCCUCCUCCAACUGUGGUGAUAUGUGCAUUGAGGGUUAUCGCCCAACCAAUAGUUGUAAUACGGCGGCAGCCCGUUCAUCAGGAAGUGCAGCACAUAUGGGAGGAUCCGAGCUCUAUCUGCACCAACAACUGCCGAUUUAAUUACCACUGUCGUUUCCACAGACAUGAGCAGGCUGUUACGAAGAAGGUGAACAACCUGGACCUAGGCGGCGAGGGGGAGCUCGGGAAGGCUAUGGGACCUGAGAGCAUCUUCAAGUCCAGGUUAUGCAUGAGCUUUCUCUCCAGCGAGUCAUGCGCCUUCGGCGGCAGAUGCUCCUUUCGCCCGUGCCAAUGUUGA
rnacentral:rRNA from 1 species